rnacentral:rRNA from 1 species
UAAUGAAUAGAUAAUCUGCCUUUUAGUGGGGGACAACAGUUGGAAACGACUGCUAAUACCCCAUACUCCUUUUAAACAUAAGUUUAAUCGGGAAAGUUUUUCGCUAAAAGAUGAGUCUAUUUCCCAUCAGCUAGUUGGUAAGGUAAGAGCUUACCAAGGCUAUGACGGGUAGCUGGUCUUAGAGGACGAUCAGCCACACUGGAACUGAGACACGGUCCAGACUCCUACGGGAGGCAGCAGUGGGGAAUAUUGCACAAUGGGGGAAACCCUGAUGCANCAACGCCGCGUGGAGGAUGACGCAUUUCGGUGUGUAAACUCCUUUUAUUAAGGAAGAAAUUUGACGGUACUUAAUGAAUAAGCACCGGCUAACUCCGUGCCAGCAGCCGCGGUAAUACGGAGGUGGCGAGCGUNACUCGGUUUGACUGNGUGUAAAGGGUCCGCANGCGGCCUUACAAGUGAAAGGUGAAAU